rnacentral:rRNA from 1 species
UACGUAGGGGGCUAGCGUUGUCCGGAAUCAUUGGGCGUAAAGAGCGUGUAGGCGGUCCGGUAAGUCCGCUGUGAAAGUCGGGGGGCUCAACCCUCGAAUGCCGGUGGAUACUGUCGGGCUAGAGUGCGGAAGAGGCGAGUGGAAUUCCUGGUGUAGCGGUGAAAUGCGCAGAUAUCAGGAGGAACACCUAUGGCGAAGGCAGCUCGCUGGGACGGUACUGACGCUGAGGCGCGAAAGCGUGGGGAGCGAACAGG